GACUCGGUACUUCGAGCCUUCUUCAGAAUACUGAGAUUAAAAUUACAUAUGUACAUUAUUUAAUUAAAGUUUUGCGGUGUUGCUACGUUCUUGUAUACGUCGAGACCGUCUAAUUGGCUGUUCCGCUGCUGAUCUGAUCUCAUUGCUGGUUGAAGAAUGCGUUGUCAUGGUUGAGUGAAUUCUUCUGCUAGGGAUGGCGUCAUUGGAAUGUU